CCUGAAGAAGGCUGUAGGUUUCAUCGCCUGGCUAGCGGGAGCUCGUACUGGCAUUCACACCCCCAUUAUGUGACUUCUUCCAGCAGUGUAAUAGGGGCAUCACCCAUCAUCCCAGUGGCAGAAAAUGCAGCUUGGAAACGAGAUGUUGUGCCACAGGGAAGAGCAGCGAGUGGGAAGAGAGAAUGCUCCACCCUAUGGCCUCAGAGCCACACACUGCACGGGAGGAAACACAAGCAACUAGACCUGAGCCUGUGACAGGAAGAUCUGCCCCCCACCCUGCCACGCCCGUGGGCAGCUGAAGAAUUGGUGAAAACAGUUGCAAGCCUGCCUCUGUGGUUCUUCACCACAGUAUUAUGUACCUGUUGUCUUCCGGUGUCUUCCCAGCACAACAGAGAAACUGCUGAGGGUCCUGAGGGGUACCUGUUGGGUUGGAAGGUGGGGGAGGCCUCCUUGCACCGCAUGCUGGGCCCAUGGGUGGCCCGCGUGACUCAGAGCUGAUGUUCCUGCUCUCCAGGGCAGCUGGGCAGCAGGGCUGGAGUCCACGCCCGCAGGCCGCACCACCUCAGUGCUAUGUCUGUUCCUGGACCUCAUGCCUUUCCUUUCCGCCUUGCCUGGCCUCCCACGGGAACAUGGAGAACAGAGCACGAAGCAAGGUUUACAGAAGCAACAAUUCAUUUGGGAGGAGCAAGACCAUGGCAGUGACUUGAGGAAAAGGCGUUGAGUUGAGGAAAGAUGCUCUGCAGUGCGGUCUGUUAUGUCACCACAGCAGCUCACUGCUUCCGCUGGCCCCAGGAGACAGGCAAGUGGCCGGGUCACUCAUACUGGGGUGUCUCCAGAACUAGGAGUGUGAUGGCAAGAGAAUAGCGUUCACUGAAACAAAACUCCGAGUUUAUUUUUUGCUAAGCAAGGGAGAGAUGCUGGAAAGGACAUUGUUUCUGAGAGAGGCAAGAGCUGACUUUACAUAGGGCUUGGGAAAUGUGGGAUUCAGAAGUUAGUGGCCUUUCAGAAGCGUAUAUAUGAACAAUGGAAUACUACUCAACUAUUAAAAAAAAAAAGAGGAAAUCUUUCCAUCUUCAUCAACUUGGUUAGAACGACAGCAGAUAAUGCUAUGUGAAAUAAGUCAGAAGGAGAAAGAUAAAUACCAGAUGGUAGAAUAUAAAGAAAACAGAGAACCAGACAAAGCUAAAUCUAAAUGCCUAGAAGGGGGAGGGUGGGAGUGGGAAAAAGUUGGAGGUGGACCCUUGGGCUGUGGGAGAGGAUUGUGGUUGUGCACAGGGUACAGUAACAUGCAUCUGAACAGCUGAGACUGCACCCCUAAGUCAUAUACAGUAUUGUGAUCCAAUAUACCCUCAAAAAUGCAAUACAAAAAUUGUAAGUGGGAAACUUCUGCAGUUGACUUUCACCUGUGGGAGCUCGUAUAUGAGGUUGCAACUGUUGGCUGAUGGCAUUUGCUCCUCUAAGCUGUUUUGUGCAUGACCGUGUGCUGUGUUACCCACGUCCAAAAAUGGAGGAGCAGCUAGUGUAAUGGGGCAUCAGCUUGAGAGGGGGAGAGAUGGAAGAAGAGACAGAGAGCGCUCAGCUGAGGUCAUUAUGGCAAGGGGCCUUAUGUGCAAAUUAGGGUGUGAAUGAGUAAGCCUGACCCUGGUCAGGAAGGACUAGUACACACUUUUCCUGGGGCCAAGCAGGGGUCACCCUCAGAAAAUACCCAUGAAAUGAUUUCCUCCUCAAUUUUUCUUCAGAAAUAAAAGGAUCCCUUUAGCUAUGCCCACACUGCCCCCACCAUUUUUUAUUCUGAUUGCCCAGAACAUGGAGAAGAAACCAAAGAUCUUUCACUGCCAGCUCAGUGAGGGACCAUCACAGCACCCUCUCUCCAGGAACGUCCACACUGGAACAUACCAGCCGAAGGUGCUUAGCAGCUGAUGGCCUUCCUCUUACAUCUGAUUCUGGGGCACGUCGCAUCAGUUGGUCGACGGUGACAUGAGAUCCGCGUCCUUCGUGCAAGCCUGGCUUGCUCCUGACCAUCAGCCCUUGUACUUGCCGCUGGACUGGACUAACUGACAGGAAGCUGGAGAUCCUGGUGAAGACUCGGGGAAGUAUCUCAGGACACUGGUUUCCAAGUGGAGGGGACUGAAUGGUCAUCAGUCACCUUCACUCUAACUGUAGGGCGGCGAAGAGUCCAGGCCGGUGUGAUCCCCCCGCUGUUGCCUGUGGCUCCUCUCAGCUCAAC